rnacentral:lncRNA from 1 species
GGCGUAUAAAAUUAUAAUCCUGGUACUUUUGAUAACUAUUUACACCACUGGGUCGAUGCCACUGCUGGUGGACGUUUCGUCCCCGAGGGUAUUACCAGCCCAGUAGUCAGCACUUCGGUGUUGACAUGAAUAUCAAUUAUAUUGUCAUUUUUAUAAAUUUUCUGUUUACAAAACUUUGAAUUUUUCGAAAAACUAAGGAUUUUCUUACCCCAGGAGUAGAUUACCUUAGCCAUAUUUGGCACAACUUUUAGGAAUUAUUGAUCCUCAAUGCUCUUCAACUUUAAAUUUAUUUG